rnacentral:lncRNA from 1 species
GUGGAAGGGACGCAUUCUUUAUGCUUCUUCUUCUUGGAUUCCUUCUCAUCGAAACUCGUAAAUUGCAGAGAUAAUCAACCCCUGGCCAUCCCAACUUCUUCAACGCCUUUGCUAUAUGAGCUUCUUUCAUUUGAAAGCAAGGUGCUGAUCCAACUAUCAACUGGAAUGCAACACUGAUGCUAUUUCAAUUUAAAUUGUCUAAAGAUUAUUACAUUAUGCUUCUUAAAUUAAUUUUAGUUUGCUCCUUCAGCUGGUAUAGUGGAAGUUUGCAGAUCCUUUCUUCCAUUGGUCAAUCAAGCUGAAGAGCCACCGUUGGUCAGGCAACACAUUCGCCCUACAGUCGUCGUGCCAACUGCCACCAGACGUGCACGGUAUACUUGAACGCCUGAAGACCUUUGUCAAUGCUAACAGGUAACAGCUCUAGGGGUUCUUCACAUAAUGCUGUGCAAUGUGGUGUCGUAGAAGGAUCGGCUCAUAUAUUGAUUGCUGUGUUAGAGGGGAUAACCUUGCUUAGCUUUGAUCAUAGAAAUGGCAAUUUAGUUUGCAUAAUGUGGAAUUUUGUGAUCAUUUUUAUGAGCAGUAAUAGCAUAUAACUUUCAUGUACUUUUCAACAUUUUCAUUAUAGAAAUGGCAAUUUACUUUCUUAUUUCUAUUCCAUGUGAUUGUUUUUUUUAAAAAAAUUCAUGAGAUCUGUCAUCUGUGAUAUUGUUGUAAUAUAAUCUUUGUUGAGUUUAACAUUUUGAGGAGCGAUAUGCGUCAUUGAUUAGGUCAUUGAUUUAUAUUAUA